CCGUUUGGCUCUGCCGGGCCAGGAGUCCCCCGCGAGAGAGAAGCUGCCCUUGAACUGUCCGGAGUGCACGUUGUCCAGGGAGAGGCCGGACGAUGACACAACAAUGCAAGAUGACACAACAACAACAUUAUUACAACAACAACAUUAUUAAGAACAAUGAGUCUGCUUACAGAAAGGAAGUACAAGGGCUGAUAUUGUGGUGUAAAGAAAAUAAUCUUACACUUAACACCAAAAAAACUAAAGAACUUAUAAUUGACUUCAGGAGGAAGAGAGAUAUACGUUUACCAUUGUACAUAAAUGGUGAGAUGGAGAGUGUGGGUAGUUUUAAAUUUCUGGGCAUUUAUAUCUCGGAGGACCUCUCAUGGAUUAUGAAUGCUGACAUGUUUGUGAAAAAAGCACAGAAGAGGCUGUACUUCCUGAGAAAGUUCAGGAAGAUAAAUCUAUCUCAGCAUCUAUUUCUGUCCUACUAUCGCAGCACCAUUGAGUGUCCUGACAUACGUCAUUCUUGCGUGGUAUAGGAGCAGCUCUGUAGCAGACAGAAAAGCUCUACAGAGAAUCAUUAAAAGUGCCCAGAAUAUCAUCGGGCUCCAGCUACCAGCCCUGGACGACAUCUUCGAAUUUCGCUGUUUGAAGAAGUUGCAUAACAUUCUCAGACUCUUUAGGACUGUUGCUUUCUGGCAGAAGAUACAGAACAAUUAAAACUAGGACCACAUGUUUUCUGAAGUUUUUAUCCCAGAGCUAUAAUUGCACUCAACAAUGAACUAAAGGGCCACCAUCAGUGAGCUGUUGGACAGCAUUACUUGGUCUGUUGUGUGGAUGUUUGGGUGGUUUAAGGGUGGGGAAUUUGUGGUGGAUGGAGGUAUCUUUGGGGAUUGUAUGUGUUGGACCUGGUCUUUGGGUGUUAAGUGAAUUUCGUUCUAUGCAUAUACUGUGUAUACAUGUACAAUGACAAUAAAAUUAUUAAAAUGA